rnacentral:tRNA from 1 species
GUAAUUCAACUACAAAAACA